AAACUAGUAUCUCAAUUGUUUGUAAAACAAUUGAAAGGUCUUUCCUGUAAAAGUGAUGUUUUCGUAUUGUACUUUGUACUACCUUUCGUUUGAUAUACCACAAGCAUACCUUCUGAAACUUUUCGCUUUUUACACUUAAUGACCUCAUCCGCCUACAUUUUUGAGAUCGGAAUUAUGAUAUAUGGAACAGAGUAGAUGAGAUUUCAUUUGAUAUGCGACAACACCAUGUUCUAGAAAGUUUGAUUUUUGCACUUAAUUACCCUAUCCAACUAUUUUUUGGAGGUCGGGAAUUUGAUAUUUCAAAUGUACACAUCAUGACCUUUCAUUUGAUAUACAACAACCCUACCUUAAAAGAACAUUUAUUUUUUGCACUCAAUGACCCCCUCCAACCCAUUUUUGGGAGACGUCAAUUUGAAAUUUGAAAUGUACGCUUUAUGUUCUUUCAUUUGAUAUGCGACAACCUUACCAUCUGAGAAAUUUGAAUGUUUGCACUAAAUGACCCC
rnacentral:lncRNA from 1 species